UCCCAUUUUUUUUUUCAUUUCUCUCGGACCCCAUAUCUCAUAAAAAUGAAAAAAAACCUCUCUGUCUCUCACAUUUUUUUUUUCAUGUCCCCCAAUGCAUCUCUGCUCUCUUCUUCAUUACUUUAAAAAAAACGCAAUAACCUUCUGCCUCUUAGAAAUUCAGCCUCCUCAUCUCUCGUUUUUCUCUCAUUUCUCUCAUUUGUGAGAACCCGAGCCUCUCCUCUCUCGCACAGCAGCACCAACCUUGCACCCCAAAUAUUGGUAGAUCUUUGGUUGAUUGUCCAAAAAACCAGCCAUCAGCAGAUCUGUGUAUAUUAUGAAUGUGCAAAUGUCCCUGACCUGAAAGCUCUGCAACGGCAAUGAAAAGGAACAACAGCUACAACACUGCAGAUCCGGUUUAGAUCCUCAUUGAAAAGCCCUGCUGGGAAGGGUUCUGGUGGCCCAUAAACUUGGGGAGGAAAAGAUUGUGGGGAAAUUGUUUCACGAUCAGCAGGUGGUGUUUCCUCCCUUGGGCAUGACUGGGUGGCAGAUUGCUCUUCAAUUCCUGCACCAAUCUCCUCUUGAUCAUUAAAGCUCUUCCCAUAAUUUAAUGCUUGAAUCAGAAAUCCGUCAUUGCUUGUCCUCCACUGAAAGCUCUUGUGGCACAUUAAGCUGCUCAAAAUACCGCCCAAGAUGCUCUUUCAAACUUUGAGUGUAGAACUCUGAAUGUGGAUUGUUC
rnacentral:sRNA from 1 species